AAUGAACGCUGGCGGCGUGCUUAACACAUGCAAGUCGAACGCGAAAGGCCACUUCGGUGGCUGAGUAGAGUGGCGCACGGGUGAGUAACGCGUGAAUGACCUACCCUCGAGAGGGGGACAACAUGCCGAAAGGUGUGCUAAUACCGCAUACAGCCGGGCACUCAAUUGGAACGUGGAUGCGUUUUAAUUGGGUGCCCGGUGAAAGGUGGGGACCUUUUUAAGGCCUACCGCUCGAGGAGGGGUUCGCGUCCGAUCAGCUAGUAGGUGGGGUAACGGCCCACCUAGGCGACGAUCGGUAGCUGGUCUGAGAGGAUGAUCAGCCACAAUGGAACUGAGACACGGUCCAUACUCCUACGGGAGGCAGCAGUGGGGAAUUUUGCGCAAUGGGGGGAACCCUGACGCAGCGACGCCGCGUAGGUGACGAAGCUCUUUGGAGUGUAAAACCUUGUCACCGGUGACGAAGGUGCUGAAUGCGAACAGUGUUUGGUACUUGACGGUAGCCGGAGAGGAAGCCCCGGCUAACUCCGUGCCAGCAGCCGCGGUAACACGGGGGGGGCGAGCGUUAUUCGGAAUUACUGGGCGUAAAGGGCGCGUAGGCGGUCUGCUAAGUGUGGAGUGAAAUCCCCGGGCUCAACCCGGGACGUGCUUUGCAUACUGGUGGACUUGAGUCCGAGAGGGGGUGGUGGAAUUCCUGGUGUAGGGGUGAAAUCCGUAGAUAUCAGGAGGAACACCGUUGGCGAAGGCGGCCACCUGGAUCGGUACUGACGCUGAGGCGCGAAAGCGUGGGGAGCAAACAGGAUUAGAUACCCUGGUAGUCCACGCUGUAAACGAUGGUCACUUGGUGUUGGGGUGUCUUAACCACUUCAAUGCCGGAGCUAACGCAUUAAGUGACCCGCCUGGGGAGUACGGUCGCAAGGCUG
rnacentral:rRNA from 1 species